rnacentral:lncRNA from 1 species
AUGUCCUCGGGUCAAUGGGGUAAAGUUCCCAGCCGAGUGGAAGGUAAAUCACGACUGUGGCGCCUGAGCUGGAACACCCCCGCGGGCAGGCCUUGCCCGGUAGUUCCUUGCGGGGCGGACUGCACAGCCCCGUCAGUGUCCCAGCCACAGAAACGCCGCACGCGGCCGCUCCCCCGCCGCCCGAAGCGUCUGCGUUCUCCCCGGGCCAGUUCCGGCCACCACACGCAACCGCGUGCCCCUCUCCCACACACUGUGGGGGAACAGAAGGGAGAGCGUGGAGCCAGCUGCCAAAGAGGCGAGGAGGAGCCCACGCGGCUCCCGGAAGGAGGGAGCCGGGCGCCCGCAGUCGCCGGGCAGAGGUGGCCGAGCGCGCCCCCAGCACCUGGCCCGGCGCCUGCCCGUCCGCCUCCCAGCCCAGGCGACGCGAGCGGCCAGUGCUGUCAGACCCCCUCCCAGCCUGGCCGCGAACGCGUCCGUCAGCCCCAACUGUUCCAGACUCUUCUCCCCGCUACAGAGACGCCCGAGUCCCCCGGCCUCGGCCCCCACCGCCCUCACCCCGGUACCUGUGCCUGGCUGGCACGGGACCCUCUCCGUCCCGUCCCCGCCUGCUCCCGCCCCGGCUCACCCCGGCCGCCGGGACCCGACCCCGACCCCGACCCCGACCCCGACCCCGACCCCGCCGCCAGCACGCGGCCGCACAAAGCGCGCCGCCCCGCGGGCCAGGACAAAGCGGGCGGGGGCGCCGGCACCUACCUCGGCGCGGAGCGGGGGCGCGGCGGGCGGGGACGCACGGGUGGUUGCCGCGCCCGCAGCCCGGCCGCGAGGGGCGUUUGCUGGCAGCGGCCGGGCGCACGGCGGAUGGCGGGCGGGCGCUGUCACCGGGCGCGGGCGGCGCGGGGGGCGCGCGGGGCGGGCGGCGGCGGCGGCGGCGGGGCGCGUGGCGGCGGCGCGCGGGCGCGAGCGGCGGGACUGCGGCGCAGCGGAAGGAGGACAAUAGCCUCCCCCUGCCGCAGGCCUGCCGGCUCCCGCGGGAGGCCCGGGACCAUCUGGAGCCGGCAGCCCCGCGGGGCUCGGGGAGGGGCCGGAGUCGCCCCUUCCCCGCCCGGCGCCAUGGCAACCGCGGCCCCUCGCGGUGCUCCCCGUCGCUCCCAGCCCGGGGUCGCUGACCUGCCCCGGGGCGAACGCGGCUGCAGCUCCGAGGCCGGCUACCGACCCCCAGCCACCUUCCGUGCGGGUUCCCCCAAAACCCCGCCUUCCGGUCCUUGCUGGCCCUGGGUCCCCACCACAGCUUAUAGGGCUUGGUCCCCCCAGUGCGGACAACUCACCUUUGUCCCUAUUCUGCUUUUCCUCCAAAAUCCGUAUCCCUGA